UCCUUUAUGCGUACAAAAAAUGUUAAUAGAGACGGGACCCGCUGGCUGCCAAUAUAUAUUUAUUGAAUUCCUUCCUUACAUGCCCAAGGUAACCUUGACUAGUUAUAUCUUCACAUCUAAUGAAAAAUUCCCUACCGAGAAAGAGAAAGACUGGUCCAAGAUCGAAGCUUUAUAGGUAGAGCUGGGUGAGGUCGGACAAUCUAGGGACGACUUGGGAAAACAAGGAAAAUCUUCCAAGAAUGAUCUUGAGGUGGCCCAACAAACCUUUAAUGCUAAGAAAGAGGAGAUGUCUUCUUUGCUAGAGGAUAAAAUCUCAGAAAAAUGACUUGGCUUAGGCUAAAGAGGAGGUAAAGGUCAUUAUUAGUCAGAAAGCCGUUUUAGAAUGGGACUUUGCUGCGGAGAAGGCGACCCAUUUUGAUGGGUUGAUAGCUUUGGCCAAGCAGGGGUUUGACAAAGAGGUUGAGAAAAUUACGCUACUUAACCCUGUAGUUAAUAUGAACCACGAAGGGAUAAAUUUAGAUAAUUCAAUCAUCAAUGGGAAUUUAGUCGACACCCAUGAUGACUGAUUUUUGUAAUUUUCUUUGUGUGGUUGUGGAGAUUUGGUCAUGGCGUUUGUUUGUAGCUUGGAUAAUUACCAUGGGUGGUCCUGAUUUAACUUUGACCACAUUUAUAUUU
rnacentral:lncRNA from 1 species